CUGUAUUCGUGUGUCCUGUUCAUUCUUUUUCUGGCCUGCCUGUACCGCUCUGUAGUAGUACUCCCGCCUGGACACUGCGCUCCAUCGCCGCCACUCGUCACUCGUCCCCUCCGGUAAACGCAGACAGAUCGAAGUAGCCCGCCCAGAUCCGUUAUCAGUGGAGACGACUCACCUGCUGUCCAUCGCCGCCGCUCCCGGUCCCAUGCUUCUCCCCCACCGAGGCGGCCCCUCCGCGCCGCCCAUUCUCCUUGCCCGCCGAUGCGAGACCUCCGCGCGCUCCUCUUCCUUGUCACCCGAUGUCGCAUCUUCCUGUUUUGCUCAGUCCGCCAGGUCGCGAGUCUGGAUCUAGAUUUCAGAGGAAAAUGGAGUGUUCUUUUGUAUGCGGUAGUGAUUUCCCUGCCGCAUACAGCAGAUUUUCGUGUUGUAUCUGAAUGUAAUCUCCGCACAACUAAUUUGAUGUUUUCCCCUUUCCCCUUUCGAGGUGCACGACGCCUUCGCGGCGGCCGCCGGCGACGAGGAUGCAGCCACCUCCGACGUGGCUGCCUACCGGCUGGGGCUCAACAUCACCUCCGCGGGUCUGAGACGUCCACAACGUUGUCUUCUCCUUCCGCACGCAGCACGCUCAACGCAAUCAGCGCCGGUCGCAAGGAUUGUACAUUCGAGCUUGCCGUAGAUGAGGACGAGGAGUUCUUGCCGUAGAUGAAGGUUGCGAUCCCUGUUGUUCGGACUGUCAGGGUAGUCAUAACUUUGAACAUUUUCGUUCCCUUUUGGAGCCAGAGGAGUUCUUCACGCCGAUGUCGAGCCAGUGAACCUGUCGCAGGUCGCGGACAAAACUGACCUCUUCACCAUCUCAGUGACUACACCUAGGUAAACCUGGGUUCUAAAGACGAGAAGUCAUCCAAGACUAGCUAAAAAGAAGUGCAAAAAGACCUAACGUGCUACCGGUUUAAUUCAGGGAUCUUGAUCUACCAGUUUCAUCUUCAUUGAUGGCUGGUGGCUUUAGACACCACCUAAUCUGGGUUGUAGUCCUCUGAAUCUUAACUAACAGGAUGUUAAGACGGUCUCUUCAGUUUAUGUAUCCACCAAUUGAUUGCACAAAAAACGUGGUUUAUUUUUUGGAUCUAUUUCUAUGUACUUGAAAAUUUUAAUCGAGGUGCCAGAUGUAUUCGUAA